rfam:Schistosoma mattheei strain Denwood, Zambia genome assembly, scaffold: SMTD_scaffold0005090
AUCCAGUUGAUGAGUCCGAAACAGGACAAAACGCACGUCCUAGAU